rnacentral:lncRNA from 1 species
GUGUCCUGAUAAGGAACCUAAUCCAAAAUGAAACUCAGUUUUACAGGAAUAGCACAGAGGCUAAUAUUCUUUAGUUAAAACCUCUAGUUUGUGAUUCGGCUGCAAAUGUCCAUUUUUCAAUCACUAAUGUAUCAUGUAGUGGUCCCUGACUGAACUUGAUGAUGGAAUGUACUUUUCUUUCGGGGGAAGAUUGUGGGAAUGAACCAUUUAUCUUUUAAGUUGGUCAUAUAUUUACUUGUGUCAACCUUUCUUCUGACAUUGGUCAAGAAUUUUACAUUUUUUGAACUUUUGAUUUACAAGCAAAGAAUUUAUGUUUCAGUAAUAGUUAUGGAAAUUUUAAAGGAGGAGACCAAUUUUAUUUUAGAUUUUAGCUUGUCUAGUUAAAUAUGAAAAAUCCUGCUUUGUUCAAG